rnacentral:rRNA from 1 species
GUGGGAACGCGCCCUUCGGUUCGGGAUAACCCAGGGAAACUUGGGCUAAUACCGGAUACGCCCUUACGGGGAAAGAUUUAUUGCCGAAGGAACGGCCCGCGUCCGAUUAGCUAGUUGGUGAGGUAAUGGCUCACCAAGGCGACGAUCGGUAGCUGGUCUGAGAGGAUGACCAGCCUCACUGGGACUGAGACACGGCCCAGACUCCUACGGGAGGCAGCAGUGGGGAAUAUUGGACAAUGGGCGCAAGCCUGAUCCAGCCAUGCCGCGUGGGUGAUGAAGGCCCUAGGGUUGUAAAGCCCUUUCAGCGGGGAAGAUAAUGACGGUACCCGCAGAAGAAGCCCCGGCUAACUUCGUGCCAGCAGCCGCGGUAAUACGAAGGGGGCUAGCGUUGCUCGGAAUUACUGGGCGUAAAGCGCACGUAGGCGGCUUUCUAAGUCGGGGGUGAAAUCCUGGAGCUCAACUCCAGAACUGCCUUCGAUACUGGAAAGCUCGAGUCCGGGAGAGGUGAGUGGAACU